rnacentral:tRNA from 1 species
GAGGGUACAGCUCAGUGGUAGAGUGAGUGCCUAACAUGCAUAAGGUCCUGGGUUCAAUCCCCAGUAACUUCA